rnacentral:lncRNA from 1 species
GUCCCUGAGGAGGUUUUUGGUGUCCCCAAUGUCCCCAAUGUCCCCAGAUGUGGUGGACUCGGGGCUCCUGGGGGUUUUUGGUGUCCCUGGAUGGGUUUUGGUGUCCCUGGAUGGGUUUUUGGUGUCCCUGAGGAGGUUUUUGGUGUCCCCAAAUGUCCCAGAAUCCCCCAGAUGUGCCAGACUCAGGGCUCUGGUCCUGUCCUGGGGGUUUUUGGUGUCCCCAAUGUCCCCAAAUGUUCCCAGAUGUGGUGGACUCGGGGCUCCUGGGGGUUUUUGGUGUCCCUGGAUGGGUUUUGGUGUCCCUGAGGAGGUUUUUGGUGUCCCCAAUGUCCCCAAACGUCCCCAGAUGUGCUGGACUCGGGGCUCCUGGGGGGUUUUUGGUGUCCCUGAGGAGGUUUUUGGUGUCCCCAAUGUCCCCAGAUGUGCUGGACUCGGGGCUCCUGGGGGUUUUUGGUGUCCCUGGAUGGGUUUUUGGUGUCCCUGAGGAGGUUUUUGGUGUCCCUGAGGAGGUUUUUGGUGUCCCCAAUGUCCCCAGAUGUGCCGGACUCGGGGCGCCGGCUGCUGCGGGACGGGGCUCUGGUCCUGUCCCACCUGGAGCCCAACGACUCCAUGGUCGCCCAGUGCGAGGCCACCAACAGCCACGGGCGGCUCCUGGCCAACGCCUUCGUCUACGUCGUGGAGCUGCCGGUGCAGAUCCUGAGCCCCAACUCGUCGCUCUACGAGCUGGUGGAGAACCAGACGGCGUUCCUGCACUGCCGCGCCUUCGGAGCCCCCGCGCCCACCGUGGAGUGGCUGGGCCCGCGGCAGGAGCCGGCCCUGCAGGACGAGCGCGCCUUCGCCUUCACCAACGGCUCCCUGCGCCUGGGCCCGCUGGCCCGGGGGGACUCGGGGGGCUUCAGCUGCCGCGCCCACAACGCCCACGGCAACGCCAGCGC